UCGUUCUGACCUCCUCCUCACGCCCUCGCCCUCAUCCUCCUACUCAAGACGUCACCGUCGCCUCCCUCGCCCGCGGCCAUGAUGACCGAUCUGGCGGUGGCGCCGCAGAUCACCCUCUGGUCCAUGGCCUCGACGGCGACGACGUAGCCCGCGCUCGCGUUCUUCCUCCCCCAUCUCGUCUCCUCUCCGGUCGCUGCAGAGGAGCCCCGUUUCGCGCCGCCACCAUGGUUGCCUGCAGCGAGCAGCAGAGGACCUAGCCGCCGCGUCCGACCGCAACCGCCUCCUGAAACCCUAGCCCCUCCUUCCAACUGCAGGUCAAGCCAGCAGGAUCCCCUCCAGAAGAGCAUUUGAUGCGCCCGACUCAUCUCUGCUUGUGCACAACAAGGAAGGCCAUGGAGACGUUGCUCCCUAUGUUUAGCGCAUAGAAAAUCAAGGCCAAGGCGGCUCAUUUGCGUGUAUGUUUGUGGCUGGCACACAAUCCGUUAAUCCUUCAAAUUUUCGCACAGAAGUCUCAAAUUAGUUCCUCUACGUCCGAUCCGGAUGCCGCACUCCUCGCCACUACACGAAUCCUCUCUCGCCGCUGCGUGAAUCCCCUCCGCCAAAUCUCAUGGUCCUCGCCAUCGCGCCGGUGGUCUGGGUCUCCAUGAGAAGACACGGGAGAAGCUAAACAUGGUCUUGCUUUCAUACCAAUAUCACAGCACAAAUUAGUAAUUUGAACACCGUUUGUAGUUUUCACCCUCGGAAAGCUAAUGAACGCGAAUGAAGAUUAUGAAGAACUUUCUUCAAUAGCAAGGCAGGGGUCUGGAAGCGCAUGCCGCAGUAUAUACAGUGGGCUUGUGAAAUGGUGUAUGGGAAAAAAUGAUGAUGGAAGUGACAGUAUGGCAGUACAGCUUGUUGACGAAUCGCAUUGGUCUGAUCUUGUUAUAAUCAUAGCAGUGGU